UUAAUUAAACUUAUAUCUCUUGUUUCAAAUAGCAGCUUCAGAGAACGCUCAAGUAUCUUAAAAAGAAAAUGGAUAUGCUAGUAAAGCUUUUGGGUGUUGCCACAUGAUAAAAUAUCAUAUCAUCUCUGGAUGAUUAGGCAGUAAAUUUUUAUCAAGGUCAAGUGUUGCUUUUUAGCAACUGUGUAAAAGAAAGUAGAAGAGGAAAUACUUCCAACUCAUGAGGUCAGCUUUUCUUACCCUGUCCCCAAAGCAAAGACAAUACAAGCAGAAAACAAAAACAAAAGAACACUACAGACCAAUAUUCAUGAACAAUGCCUUGCAAUUCUUAACAAAUGGUUUGUUUUCUUUGAGAAGUUGUACAGUUUUUGCUUUUAUGCUUAGGCCUGUAAUCUAUUUCAGAUAAAAUUUCACAUCCAGUGUUAGUUUCUAAUGACACCAUGCUCUUCACUUUGCUAGACAGGCUGAAUGUCCACAGCAUCACUCUUCUCUAAUUGUUCCUCCCCCUCUCACCCGAAUUAGAAUGCUCACUCUUCAGGGCAGAUACCAAACCCAAGUCCUCUCUGAAUCUUUCCUAGCACAAUUCUUGCUUCAGAGCAGGUGCAUAAUAAACAUUUGCGAGUCAUGUUUGGUUCUCAUCUCCCUCUUUUCUCUUUUCCACACCUGCUUUCCUAAAAAACUUUUAAUUCCUGCCCAUCCUUCUUUCUCAGUAUGUCUUGAAUUGUUUAUUUUCACUAGUUCAUCCCCCUACUUUAGUAUAUACAGGUUGUAACAGGCAUCCUGUCUUGAGAUUCUUCUCUUCCACAUCCAUCUCCAAACCACUGUGAGGUCAAUUCUCCCUAAGAGGCUCUGCCAUGCUUUUGUUUGAUAAACUUUACUGAAUAAAGUUUAAACACUUUAGCUUGGCAUUCAAGACACUCUGUAGCCUGGUUUCGAUUCUCUCAGACUUCUGCUACUCCGUGUCCCCAUAUAUGCCAUUUCCUCUGUGCAGAAGGACGGCAGUGCCACAGCUGCAUGGCUGAGAUUCUGACCACUUUCUGAGACACACUGCAGCGUUAGCUCCUACGGGGAGUCUCCCCACCUGGCCUAGAGGGACACAGUACCUCCUUUUCUUUGCACUCUUAUAGUGCUUAGGGAGACUGCUCGCUAAGUUUACAAUAAAAGACCAUUUACAUACAUUUCUAAUCUUUCCUUUUAGACUCCUGGCUCUUAGGGGGGAGGACUGUGUUUUUGCAUUCCACAUUGCUCCUAGGUCAGUAUCUUUUCUAUAGAAAGAAGUAAAUGCAUAUUUCAUAUCUAAGGUACAGUGAAAACAGCAGAAGGCCCUUGUGGCAAACUGCAUUCUCCAAAGAAACAUUCCUCUCAGACACCACCUUCUGACAGUGUGACUGACAUUCUUCCCAUUAAGAGAUGGGGGCUUAUGUUCCCUUUCCUAUCUAGAUAGGCUGUGAUCUGUAUGAUUCUGAGACUAGGUCAUAAAAAGCAAAACAGCUUUUAUCUGGUUCUCUUUGGGAUGUUCAUUCCUAGAUCUCAGCUAUCAUGCUGUGAGGAAGAGCAAGUAGCCUUAGGGAAAGGCCACAUGUAGGUGUUCCAGCUGGUGUCCAAACAGCAGCGAGCAUCAACCCCCAGACGUGGGAGUGAGCAGUGAGCAAGCUUCAGGGGAUCAGUCCUGCGCUGUCAGCUGAGGACCCCAACAUCAUGGAGCAGCGAAGUGCCAUCCAGCUGUACCCUUUCUGAAUUUCUGGCCGAUAAAAUCUGGGAGCGUAAUAAAAUGGUGCUUGUUUUAUACCAUGAAGUUUGGGGCUGCACAUCGAUAGUUUAGUGCAACAGUCUUUUCAUUUCUUUAUAUCAGAUACUACUAAAAAAAUUUUUUCUGAAAACUAUAUCAAACUAAUGGAAAAGUACUUUAAAUUAACACUUUCACAGACCUGUAUACCCUGAAAAUGUAUUAAGAAAUCAGAAAUCUCUAGGAGGUAUGUGAAUUUUAUGUGAUUUUUAGU